UCCCCGAUAGCUCAGUCGGUAGAGCAAAUGACUGUUAAUCAUUGGGUCGCAGGUUCGAGUCCUGCUCGGGGAGCCA
rnacentral:tRNA from 1 species